UCACAAUGAACUAGCAUGGUAAGCAAAAAGCAAGGUAAACAUUCGUAUUGGAUUUCUGCCCACAGUAGUUGUCUACAAAAAGAGAGAAAAGGCAUGUUCACCCCAUAAGGCAAAUCCUGCAAACAUUGAAACUCUGUUCGGAAUUACGCGGAUAAUAGAACACUAAGAUUUCAUAACAAAACAAAAACAUGUUUUCAUUUUACUACUUUCUAACUACAAACUGGAAAUAUGCUUUCAUCCUGUAUUCGCUAAAUAACAAAACAGAAACAUAUUUCCGUGGUAUAAUAUAAUAUACACAAUGAAAACAUAAUAGUCUUAACGACAACAAUGAAAAAUAAAAACAACCACAAUGAAAAAGAUGAAUUACCAUGAGACGUCUGUGCAGUGUGAGGCAACAAUGAACAUCAGAAGGGCGACACAAGAGAGUCACUAUCAGAAUGGGAAGGGAGAGUGUGCGGAGGAGAUGAGAAGAAAAUGGGGAGGAGGGAGUGUGAGGAAUUUUACAUCAACAAAA
rnacentral:lncRNA from 1 species